rnacentral:ribozyme from 1 species
UGCCCACCAACUCCUAUCCCUACCUCCUCGUAGUACUGGCCGGAGUAGUAACGUUGGGGAAGAUCGGGUAACUAACCCCGGUGGGAACUUUGGUCGUAUGCUGACAGGGAAGG